GGACGAACGCUGGCGGCGUGCCUAAUACAUGCAAGUCGAACGAGCUCUCCCAAAUUGAUUUUAUGCUUGCAUAAAUGAUUUUUGGAUUCGGAGCGAGUGGCGAACUGGUGAGUAACACGUGGGUAACCUGCCCCGAAGCGGGGGAUAACAUUUGGAAACAAGUGCUAAUACCGCAUAAUUAGUUGGAACCGCAUGGUUCCAACUUGAAAGAUGGCUCUGCUAUCACUUUGGGAUGGACCCGCGCCGUAUUAGUUAGUUGGUGAGAUAAAAGCCCACCAAGACGAUGAUACGUAGCCGACCUGAGAGGGUAAUCGGCCACAUUGGGACUGAGACACGGCCCAGACUCCUACGGGAGGCAGCAGUAGGGAAUCUUCCACAAUGGACGAAAGUCUGAUGGAGCAACGCCGCGUGAGUGAUGAAGGUUUUCGGAUCGUAAAACUCUGUUGUUAAAGAAGAACAAGUGUUAGAGUAACUGUUAACACUUUGACGGUAUUUAACCAGAAAAGCCACGGCUAACUACGUGCCAGCAGCCGCGGUAAUACGUAGGUGGCAAGCGUUGUCCGGAUUUAUUGGGCGUAAAGCGAGCGCAGGCGGUUUUGUAAGUCUGCUGUGAAAGCCCUCAGCUCAACUGAGGAAGUGCAGUGGAAACUACAAAACUUGAGUACAGAAGAGGAAAGUGGAACUCCAUGUGUAGCGGUGAAAUGCGUAGAUAUAUGGAAGAACACCAGUGGCGAAGGCGGCUUUCUGGUCUGUUACUGACGCUGAGGCUCGAAAGCAUGGGUAGCGAACAGGAUUAGAUACCCUGGUAGUCCAUGCCGUAAACGAUGAAUACUAGGUGUUGGAGGAUUUCCGCCCUUCAGUGCCGCAGCUAACGCAUUAAGUAUUCCGCCUGGGGAGUACGACCGCAAGGUUGAAACUCAAAGGAAUUGACGGGGGCCCGCACAAGUGGUGGAGCAUGUGGUUUAAUUCGAUGCUACGCGAAGAACCUUACCAGCUCUUGACAUCUUCUGCCAACCCAAGAGAUUGGGCGUUCCCUUCGGGGACAGAAUGACAGGUGGUGCAUGGUUGUCGUCAGCUCGUGUCGUGAGAUGUUGGGUUAAGUCCCGCAACGAGCGCAACCCUUAUUAUUAGUUGCCAGCAUUUAGUUGGGCACUCUAGUGAGACUGCCGGUGAUAAACCGGAGGAAGGUGGGGACGACGUCAAAUCAUCAUGCCCCUUAUGAGCUGGGCUACACACGUGCUACAAUGGAUGGUACAACGAGUCGCGAAACCGCGAGGUCAAGCUAAUCUCUUAAAGCCAUUCUCAGUUCGGAUUGCAGGCUGCAACUCGCCUGCAUGAAGUUGGAAUCACUAGUAAUCGUGGAUCAGCAUGCCACGGUGAAUACGUUCCCGGGCCUUGUACACACC
rnacentral:rRNA from 1 species